AAAAAAAAUCUCAAAUUUCUCCAUUUUCACUUGUUGAUCCAAAAAUUCAAGAAAAAUGAGGAUUCGAAAACCCAUACCCAAUUCACCAUCUUCAUCUUCAUCAUCGUCGUCAUCUUCAUCUUCUUCAUCUUCCUUGUACACGUUCUCUUCCCUAACAGAUAACUCCUUUGCUUCAUCCAUAGAUUCAUCUUCCUCAACUUCAACUUCUUCCUCUAUCACCACUGCUAGAUGUCAAGGCCUUGAUCUGCUAGUCAAGGCCAUUCAUCAGGUUACUGAUGGUUCUGUUGUGGGUGUUCCUUACAUUCAGAAAAGGGUCAUCACGAGGAGGAGGAGAAGAGUUUUGAGCUUUGAAAGGUUUUUUAUAGCAGAGUGUUUUGAGAAACAGCAUGAUGGGGUGAAGUGCAAAGAUGGGUCGUUGCCUAAAAGACAGCAAAGGAAGCGAUUGAAGACUGUUCCGACUAAGUAUCAAGAUUCAGCGAUGAUUCAGUCAUCGAAGCCCAAACCCAAAAGCCGGAGACUUCAGAGAUCUGCUAAGAUUUGUGAGGAAUUGGGGUCGUGAAACUGUUUUCUCUAUUUUGAUUCUUCUCUUUUUCCGAGAUCUUAGAUGAUCUUGUUCUCUUAGAGGUAUCAAUUUGAUAUAUAGUAUUUUUGCUUCUUUCUUCUUUUUUUUUUGGGUGGAUGGGUAAUUUUUCUGUUUUCAAUUUGUAAUGGAGUAUGUUAUAGUGAUGAAUUUUCGAUCAAUGAAGAUAUGGUGAAA
rnacentral:misc_RNA from 1 species